rnacentral:rRNA from 1 species
GCUCAGGACGAACGCUGGCGGCGUGCUUAACACAUGCAAGUCGAACGAUGAACCACUUCGGUGGGGAUUAGUGGCGAACGGGUGAGUAACACGUGGGCAAUCUGCCCUGCACUCUGGGACAAGCCCUGGAAACGGGGUCUAAUACCGGAUACUGACCAUCGCAGGCAUCUGUGAGGGUCGAAAGCUCCGGCGGUGCAGGAUGAGCCCGCGGCCUAUCAGCUUGUUGGUGAGGUAAUGGCUCACCAAGGCGACGACGGGUAGCCGGCCUGAGAGGGCGACCGGCCACACUGGGACUGAGACACGGCCCAGACUCCUACGGGAGGCAGCAGUGGGGAAUAUUGCACAAUGGGCGAAAGCCUGAUGCAGCGACGCCGCGUGAGGGAUGACGGCCUUCGGGUUGUAAACCUCUUUCAGCAGGGAAGAAGCGAAAGUGACGGUACCUGCAGAAGAAGCGCCGGCUAACUACGUGCCAGCAGCCGCGGUAAUACGUAGGGCGCGAGCGUUGUCCGGAAUUAUUGGGCGUAAAGAGCUCGUAGGCGGCUUGUCACGUCGGUUGUGAAAGCCCGGGGCUUAACCCCGGGUCUGCAGUCGAUACGGGCAGGCUAGAGUUCGGUAGGGGAGAUCGGAAUUCCUGGUGUAGCGGUGAAAUGCGCAGAUAUCAGGAGGAACACCGGUGGCGAAGGCGGAUCUCUGGGCCGAUACUGACGCUGAGGAGCGAAAGCGUGGGGAGCGAACAGGAUUAGAUACCCUGGUAGUCCACGCCGUAAACGGUGGGCACUA